GCCUUCGUAGCUCAGUGGUAGAGCGCGUCACUAGUAAUGACGAGGCCGUCAGUUCAAUUCUGGCCGAAGGCA
rfam:Cochliobolus sativus ND90Pr unplaced genomic scaffold COCSAscaffold_8, whole genome shotgun sequence.